rnacentral:rRNA from 1 species
ACGAACGCUGGCGGCGUGCUUAACACAUGCAAGUCGAACGCUGAAGCUCAGCUUGCUGGGUGGAUGAGUGGCGAACGGGUGAGUAACACGUGAGUAACCUGCCCUCUUCUUUGGGAUAACGCCCGGAAACGGGUGCUAAUACUGGAUAUUCACUGAUUCUCGCAUGGGGGUUGGUGGAAAGGUUUUUUCUGGUGGGUGAUGGGCUCGCGGCCUAUCAGCUUGUUGGUGGGGUGAUGGCCUACCAAGGCUUUGACGGGUAGCCGGCCUGAGAGGGUGACCGGUCACAUUGGGACUGAGAUACGGCCCAGACUCCUACGGGAGGCAGCAGUGGGGAAUAUUGCACAAUGGGCGAAAGCCUGAUGCAGCGACGCCGCGUGAGGGAUGGAGGCCUUCGGGUUGUAAACCUCUUUCGCUCAUGGUCAAGCCGCAGCUUUGGGUUGUGGUGAGGGUAGUGGGUAAAGAAGCGCCGGCUAACUACGUG